UCCCCUAGUAACUGCGAGUGAAGCGGGAUAAGCUCAAAUUUAAAAUCUGNCGGUGUAAUGCCGUCCGAAUUGUAACCUAGAGAAGUGUUGCCCGUGCUGGACCGUGUAUAAGUCUCCUGGGAUGGAGUAUCAGAGAGGGUGAGAAUCCCGUCUUUGACAUGGACUUACCAGUGCANUGUGGUAUGCUCUCNAAGAGUUGAGUUGUUUGGGAAUGCAGCUCUAAAUGGGUGGUAAAUUCCAUCUAAAGCUAAAUAUUGGCGAGAGACCGAUAGCGAACAAGUACCGUGAGGGAAAGAUGAAAAGAACUUUGGAAAGAGAGUUAAACAGUAUGUGAAAUUGUUGAAAGGGAAACGUUUGAAGUCAGUGAUAUUGGUCAGGGAUCAAGCCAAGCA
rnacentral:rRNA from 1 species